rnacentral:rRNA from 1 species
GGGCCCGCACAAGCAGUGGAGUAUGUGGUUUAAUUCGAAGCAACGCGAAGAACCUUACCAGGACUUGACAUCCCUUGAUCGCCGUAGAGAUACGGUUUCCCUUCGGGGCAAGGAGACAGGUGGUGCAUGGUUGUCGUCAGCUCGUGUCGUGAGAUGUUGGGUUAAGUCCCGCAACGAGCGCAACCCCUGUUGUUAGUUGCCAUCAUUAAGUUGGGCACUCUAGCGAGACUGCCGGUGACAAAUCGGAGGAAGGUGGGGACGACGUCAAAUCAUCAUGCCCCUUAUGUCCUGGGCUACACACGUACUACAAUGGCUAUUACAGCAGGAAGCAAGAUCGCAAGAUGGAGCUAAUCCUCAAAAAUAGUCCCAGUUCAGAUUGUGGGCUGAAACUCGCCCACAUGAAGUCGGAAUUGCUAGUAAUUGCAGGUCAGCAUACUGCAGUGAAUACGUUCCCGGGCCUU